UCCUGGUUAACCCAGGCAGUCUCACUAGAGUUCCCACCUUAAAUGUUGGCAACUAGUGAUAAGGGUUGCGCUCGUUGCGGGACUUAACCCAACACCUCACGGCACGAGCUGACGACAGCCAUGCAGCACCUGUGUACCUGUUCUUUCGAAAGACGACAUUUCUGCCGCUGUCAAGUACAUGUCAAGUCUGGGUAAGGUUCUUCGCGUAGCAUCGAAUUAAACCACAUGCUCCACUGCUUGUGCGGGCCCCCGUCAAUUCUUUUGAGUUUCACCCUUGCGAGCGUACUCCUCAGGCGGUACACUUAACGCGUUAGCUCCGACACAACUGGGGUUGAGACCAGUUACAUCAAGUGUACAUCGUUUACGGCAAGGACUAC
rnacentral:misc_RNA from 1 species